rfam:Aedes albopictus isolate Foshan contig86894, whole genome shotgun sequence.
UAGCCUAGUGGUAGAGGCUAUGGAUUGCCAAUCCGGAGACGGCGGGUUCAAUUCCCGU